GUCGCCAGUUACUAUAUGUGCGGUCUUCCUGCUUGAAACAUAACUUACCCAUCACAUUUGAACAACAAAUAAUAAUGAAUUAUGGCUCAGCUAUAUUCAUGUUUGACCUGUUCUGCGAAAUGAUAUGCCACAUAAUUCAAUUCGUGCAGAUCGACGCAUAACUGAAGGCGCAGCCAAGGUGACUAAGCAAAUUCCCAAGUGUCCACCUUCCAAGAGCCCUGGGGUACAGGCUCGAGGUGAUGUGUCUGAAGGCCACAUCUCAGGUAUCAGAGAAAAGGAAUAAUGAGAUCUGUUGUUCUGUAUCGCUACCUGGACAUAGUCAUUUCGACAGAUUAAAG